rnacentral:tRNA from 1 species
GCCCGAAUGAUGAAAUUGGUAAACAUGAUAGACUCAAAAUCUAUUGGCAGUAAUGCCUUGCGGGUUCGAGUCCCGCUUUGGGCACCA